rnacentral:rRNA from 1 species
AGUGAACGCUGGCGGUAGGCCUAACACAUGCAAGUCGAACGGCAGCACAGUAAGAGCUUGCUCUUACGGGUGGCGAGUGGCGGACGGGUGAGGAAUACAUCGGAAUCUACUUUUUCGUGGGGGAUAACGUAGGGAAACUUACGCUAAUACCGCAUACGACCUACGGGUGAAAUCAGGGGAUCUUCGGACCUUGCGCGAUUGAAUGAGCCGAUGUCGGAUUAGCUAGUUGGCGGGGUAAAGGCCCACCAAGGCGACGAUGCGUAGCUGGUCUGAGAGGAUGAUCAGCCACACUGGAACUGAGACACGGUCCAGACUCCUACGGGAGGCAGCAGUAGGGAAUAUUGGGCAAUGGGCGAAAGCCUGAUGCAGCAAUGCCGCGUGAGUGAAGAAGGUCUUCGGGUUGUAAAACUCUUUUAUUAGGAAAGAAAAGAAGCAGAUGAAAACCCGGAUGUUUUGACGGUACCCAAAGAGUAAGCAACGGCUAACUACGUG